UUGGACUUACCAUUAUUAUUACUUGAACUAUUUGGUACGCUUGCCAAUCCGUUAACAGGUUCUAGAGAACGCGAGAAAGAAAUGAGAGUUGGUUCGUGUCAGUUGCUCAGGAGCGCAAAGCUGAAUCAGACACACGUGUGGGAAGCUGGAUCGAUUGAAACUUGAACGGUUGAAGAGCAAGGUCAGAGUCAGUUCGAGGCACUCAAGAAUAUUCCAAGUCCGUUAUUCGGUUCAUCCCCUUUCCCCC
rnacentral:lncRNA from 1 species